rnacentral:rRNA from 1 species
UCCAAAAGCCUAAGGUUGUCAAGAGAUGAGGUGAGCCCCUCUUUGGCUGCGUUACAACAAUUGAGGUAUCUUGAUCUGAGUGGGAAUGACUUCAAUGGCACCAGCAUACCUGUGUUUGUGGGCUCUCUGGAGAAACUAAGGUAUCUCAACCUCUCUUCUUCAUGUUUCGGUGGGAGAAUACCUUCCCAACUCGGUAAUCUCUCAAAUUUGCAAUAUCUUGAUGUUGGUGGGAAUUAUUUCUUCUGUGAUGAUGAGGGUAAUCAACAUGAGCCGUACACUCUGGAUUUUACAUGGUUGGCACGUCUCUCAUUGUUGAGCCAUCUUGACUUGAGUGGAGUGGACCUCAGUCCUUUUCAGGACUAGGUUCACAUGGUUAACAUGCUUUCUUAUCUGAAAGUGCUUCGCUUAGUAUAUUGUAGGCUUACCAGCACAGUGUCUGCUACUUUAAAAUCAAAUCUCACACAUCUCCAAGUCCUUGAUCUAUCAGAAAACUCGUUUAACUCAUCAUUAGAGCAAAGUUGGUUUUGGGAUGUCACAAGUCUUAAGGAGCUGCACCUAUCCGAUUGCUACUGGCAUGGAUCUAUUCCUGGAGAACUGGGAAACAUGACAUCCCUUCAAGUAACAGAUUUUAGUGGCAAUAAUGAUCUUGUGGGUUUGAUACCGCGCAACUUAGAAAAUUUGUGCAAUCUGAAAGUGUUGAAUUUUGAUGAAAUCAACAUUAAUGCAAGCAUAGGGGAAUUAAUGGAUCGAUUGCCAAGUUGCUCAUGGAGUACAAUACAAGUAUUGUCAAUGCGUGACACAAAUUUGACCGGAAAACUACCAAUAUGGAUCGGGAACAUGACUAGUCUCAGUGUUCUUGACGCCAAUGGUAACAUGAUAACUGGUACUAUACCACUUGGAGUUGGAUCACUUGGUAACUUGACAGUGUUGGAUCUCUGCUACAAUAAACUCUAUGGUGUGCUUGUGAAGGAGCAUUUUUCAGGCUUACUGAAUUUAGAGUUUCUGGACUUGUCACACAACUUCUUGGAUAUUUUAUUACGCAAAAUCCAUUUUGCUGCUUUACAACAGUUGAGGUAUCUUGAUCUGAGUGGGAAUUACUUUAGUGGUGCAAGCAUGCCAUUGUCCGUGGGCACUCUGGAGAACCUAAGGUAUCUCAACCUCUCGUUGUCAGGUUUCGGUGGGAGAAUACCUUCCCAACUCGUUGGAGCACUAGGUAACUUGACAGAGUUGGAUCUCAGCUACAAUAAACUAAAUGGUGUGCUCAUGAAGGAGCAUUUUUCAGGCUUACUAAAUUUAGAGUAUCUGGACUUGUCAUACAACUCCUUGAAAAUGGAUAUUGAACCAAAUUUUGUUCCUCCGUUUAAACUGAAGUACAUAGAUUUACAGUCAUGCCUAGUGGGGCCCCAUUUUCCAGAUUGGCUUGGAUGGCAGACCGACAUUGAUACUCUUGGUCUUGCAAAUACAAGUUUGGAUGAUGUUAUUCCUGAUUGGUUUUGGGUGACAUUUUCCCGGGCUUCAGUCUUGGAUGCCUCAGGAAACAUACUACGUGGUUCAUUACCGGCAGAUCUACAACACAUGUCAGCAGAUUUUAUACUUCUGGGAUCCAAUAAGCUCUCAGGUCAAGUUCCACGGCUACCUAUAAAUAUAUCAAUCUUGGUUCUGUCCUCAAACACUUUCUCAGGGUCAUUGCCAUCAGAGCUAAAAGCCCCACUGCUUCAGGCAUUGCUUCUGCAAAAUAAUCAAAUUGCAGGCACCAUUCCAUCAUCUAUGUGCCAAUUGACUGGUCUGAAGCGGAUGGACCUAUCAAGAAAUAAUUUAACAGGAGAUGUUAUGCAGUGUUGGAAGGAGUCAGGCUUAAACUCUGCAGAACAAUUUGGUUCUGUCAUGCUUAGUCUAUCCUUGAGCAACAAUAAUCUCUCAGGUGAAUUCCCUAAAUUUCUUCGGAGUGCCUCACAAUUGAAGUUCCUUGAUCUUUCAUACAAUAGCUUCUUUGGAACAUUGCCAAGGUGGUUAGAAGAGAAAAUGCCACAGUUGCAAAUCUUGAGGGUGAGAUCAAACAAGUUUAGUGGCCAUAUUCCUAAGAACCUUACUUGCCUUGAAAAUCUUCAUUAUUUGGACUUGGCCCAUAAUAAUAUAUCAGGAACCAUACCAUGGUCGUUAUCAAACUUGAAAGCAAUGAGGGUCAUAAGUCGUAAUACGGUGUCCGUUAAUUUGGAGGAGAGUAUAUCAAUAAUCACAAAAGGCCAAACACGUGACUACACCUUUGAAGUCUACAACCUAGUGGUGAAUCUUGAUCUGUCAUGUAACAAUUUAACAGGACAGAUUCCUGAUGAGAUAAGUUUGCUGAUUGGGCUCACCAGCCUAAACUUAUCAAGUAAUCAGCUGACCGGAAGGAUCCCUAAUCAAAUUGGUGAUCUAAAGCAGUUGGAGUCCGUGGACCUAUCCUACAACGAGUUCUCUGGUGAAAUCCCGCCAGGCUUGUCGGCUCUAACCUAUCUGAGCCACUUGAACCUAUCAUACAACAACUUAUCAGGCGCGAUACCAUCUGGCCCGCAGCUGGAGGCUCUUGACAACCAGAUCGGCAUCUACAUCGGCAACCCCGGUCUUUGUGGCUACCCUCUGUCCAAGAACUGCUCUACUAGUACUACUGAUGCAGAGCAAAGUGUCAACCUUGAAGAAGCAGAUGAUAUCGCGUAUCUCUACCUUGGGAUGGGCAUAGGAUUUUUGCUUGGCCUUUGGGUGGUGUUUUGCACCAUGUUACUGGGGAGAACCUGGGCGAUUGCUUACUUUCAGAUCAUUGACAAACUUUAUGAUGAUGCUUAUCUAUGGGUGGCUAUUACUUGGGCUCACCUGAUGAAGAACCACGACGACGACGCGGCGUGA